CUGAAGAGAGACCUGGAGGAGGAAGAGGAGCCUUGAGGAAGAAGAAAUGAGCCAGAGAAACACCAAGAGGAACAAAACAAGGAAGAGUUGCUGCUGUAAAAGAUCUGCUGUGAGAUCCGUAGCACACAGUCCUCCACCAGCGUAAGGAUCAAUGGGACUGCACUGGAUGAGGAGGAAGACUGGACCCAUUUCAUCACCACUGGACAUUCCACAAGACCAGCUCUACUCCACAGAACCACAUCUGUUACUCCAGGAGGACUUAUUUGUACUGCUUCCAACACCCUGAGCAACAGGGUGCCAGGUCUUAUCACUGACUCUGUCAGGGUUUUCCAGGAUUUUUGUUUGCUACCCUGCUUGUGUUUUUGUACUACUACAUUUGUAUUUUCCUUUUUUUAAA